rnacentral:rRNA from 1 species
UACGUAGGGUGCGAGCGUUGUCCGGAAUUAUUGGGCGUAAAGAGCUCGUAGGCGGUUUGUCGCGUCGGCCGUGAAAACUUGGGGCUUAACCCCGAGCCUGCGGUCGAUACGGGCAGACUUGAGUUCGGGCAGGGGAGACUGGAAUUCCUGGUGUAGCGGUGAAAUUCGUAGAUAUCAGGAGGAACAACGGUGGCGAAGGCGACUCCCUGGACUGUUACUGACGCUGAGGCGCGAAAGGCGUGGGGAGCAAACAGG